UGUACAUCCCCAGAGGAUUCUCCCUCGACUUCCUGCUCACAACCAUCUCAGAGUCCACGUCCUAGAGAAUCUGACCUGAGACUUUCAGGUUUUAGGAUGACCAGUGAGAUGAUCAGUACUUCAGAACCCUCCAAGGUGAUGGGUCAUUCAAGCUCCAGUAACGUCAAGGCCUCAACAGUUUGGACAUAACUUUAGGCAACACAUACAAGACCCACAUGUCUCCACUGAUACGACUGGGGAUCUCAUCAAGAAACUACUCAACGAAGCCAGAUGCUGGAGUCUUCUGAAGGUGGCAGCUGUUAAUACAGAACUUGAUGAAGAAGAUGCCAGAAUCUCAGCUGGAGUUCACAAAACCCUAGCCAGUCCUAACUCAGAAGGGCCUGCACACCCUUUAAUCCAGCAAAAUUAACUCAAGAGCAUGUGGGACCUGAAAUACAAUCUCUGCAUAUUAUUGCGGGUGCUUCAAGCAAAGAAAAGAACCUGAUUUCACAUUUGAGAUGCAUUUUAAACCAAAGGUCUGUUCUGGUACCUCCACAAGGAAGCAUCAGUCAGACCAAAGAAAGUUUACAUCCAGGGAUUUGUCUUCUGGAGUGGAUCUCACUGACCUACAAGAAUUGAU